rnacentral:misc_RNA from 1 species
GAAAUGCGAUAAGUAAUGUGAAUUGCAGAUUUCAGUGAAUCAUCGAAUCUUUGAACGCACAUUGCGCCCGCCAGUAUUCUGGCGGGCAUGCCUGUUCGAGCGUCAUUUCAACCAUCAAGCCCCCGGGCUUGUGUUGGGGACCUGCGGCUGCCGCAGGCCCCGAAAACCAGUGGCGGGCUCGCUGUCACACCGGGCGUAGUAGAUUUUUCGUCUCGCCCAGGGCGUGCUGCGGGUUCCGGCCGUUAAAAAGCCUCUCUUUUAACCCAAGGUUGACCUCGGAUCAGGUAGGAAGACCCGCUGAACUUAAGC